rnacentral:tRNA from 1 species
UAUCUUUCUAGUAUAGAUAUUAUACUUGACUUCCAAUCAAGAGAACCUGGUAGGGAAAGAUAA